rnacentral:rRNA from 1 species
GAAAAGCAGAUCGCAUGAUAAGCUUUUAAAGGACGGCGUAAAGCUGUCGCUAUGGGGAUGGCCCCGCGGUGCAUUAGCUAGUUGGCAAGGUAAAGGGCUUACCAAGGCGAUGAUGCAUAGCCCGAGUUGAGAGACUGAUCGGGCCACAUUGGGGACUGAGACACGGGCCCAAACUCCUACGGGAGGCAGCAGUAGGGAAUCUUCCACAAUGGACGCAAGUCUGAUGGAGCAAACGCCGCGUGAGUGAAGAAGGUUUUCGGAUCGUAAAAAGCUCUGUUUGUUUGGUGAAGAAGGAUAGAGGUAGUAACUGGUCCCUUUUAUUUGACGGUAAUCAACCCAGAAAGUCACGGGCUAACUACGUGCCCAGCAGCCGCGGUAAAU